CCUCAGGCUCCUUCUUCCCCUCUCCACCCCUGCCAUGUUUUCCUGUGGUGAGGCUCUGGCAGCUUCCGGAAGACAAGUAACGGGAACAUCAGUCAGCCCACAGCCGCGCUUCCUGUGCUGCAAAAGGUGUCCCCGCUGCACUGUGGAGGUGGGAAGUUGCACAAAGCUGGGCAGUGCUGCCUGCCGUUGUUCUGCUGCAUGGACAGCGCGCGGGGCCCACAUCACCCCUGCAGCUGUGACAGACUACGUCCUGCCGCCCAAACAUCUCGAGUUCCCGCUCUCUGCACUGCAAGCCGGGGUAAUUACCAGGGUUCUGCAGUCACCAUGCUCUGGCCAUCCAACCUGAAGACAGUCUUCGCCCUCUGUGUCUCUCUUGCCUUCCUGGUCACCACUGUGGAGAGCUAUGAGUGUAUAAGCUGCUCCGGGGGACAAUGCAGGUCUAACCCGACAGCAACCUGUACCACCUCCCAAGGCUGCUUCAGCCUCCAGCAGGAAUUAAACAUCUCAGGUAAGCCAUGCCUGAAAACCACCUGUGCUGCCAGAUACAUGGGAAAGACAGAAAAUGAAGGGUUUGCCUGGCUCACAAGGGAUGGGCCUUGUGUUCGAUGUGGCACCUUUCCUUGGUCCUCAGCUCCUUCCACAAUGUCCUAGCAGCAUGGAGCUGGAGUGGGGACAACACAGAUUCUCUGCGGACAGGCUCGGGUGGUCCAGGUCACUGCCCAGCCUCCUGGGUCAGUGUGUGUGACCCAAGCCCCAGUCAGGACACCAGCACAGACCCCCUUUCUAACCAGACCCUCCACUGUGGUUUCCCCUGGGAAAUGAACAAUGCACCACUCUUUGGAAAAGUGGAAAAGCUGAAGACCAAGGAAACAAAGGCUCCAGUUCCCAGACUGCUGCCUGUCUUGGCGUCAGUCUGCCCUGGCUCAGGAGGGAAAUUCUCUGUGGGGUCUGCUUCCCUGCAGGACAGCAAAUCUUAUUGGCCCAGGAUAAAGGCUGCUCUUCGGGAGCCUGUUCUGCACUGGCCUUCUCGGUGACACUCGGGGAAAAGAGGGCAUUCCGCUAUGACCGCCGGUGCUGCGACGGCCAGCGGUGUAACAAGGAGAAUGUCACGCGUGAGUGCCCCUCCUGCCCAGCCGGGGCCCAAGCCCUGGGUUAGA
rnacentral:lncRNA from 1 species